UACGUAGGGGGCUAGCGUUGUCCGGAUUUAUUGGGCGUAAAGAGCGUGUAGGCGGCCAGGUAGGUCUGCUGUGAAAACUCGAGGCUCAACCUCGAGACGCCGAUGGAAACCGACUGGCUAGAGUCCGGAAGAGGAGAGUGGAAUUCCCGGUGUAGCGGUGAAAUGCGCAGAUAUCGGGAAGAACACCCGUGGCUAAGGCGGCUCUCUAGUACGGUACUGACGCUGAGACGCGAAAGCGUGGGGAGCGAACAGG
rnacentral:rRNA from 1 species